rnacentral:tRNA from 1 species
GACAGUUUGGCCGAGUGGUCUAAGGCACCAGAUUUAGGCUCUGGUCCGAAAGGGCAUGGGUUCAAAUCCCACAGCUGUCA